AAAAAAGAAACACAGAGCCUAGGCCUGGUGGCACACUUGCAAGGGCUCGCAGGGCUCGGGAGGAAAAGGUGGGUGGGUGUUUUGUUGAAAGUUCUAGGCCAGCUUGAGUUACGUAGUGAGGUUAGAUCUGGCAAAGCCCCAUGAAGAACUCUGUAGUGGGGUGAGAGAGGGAAGAUAAAGAAGAAAAGAAAUAAAAAGAGGAAAAGAAAGAGCGAGUGGCUGGCCAGAGAGCACUGUGGUGCUUGCCUGUCAUCCCACCUGGAAGGUGGAGGCAGGAGGAUUCAGACUUUGAGACCAGCUUUGUAAUGCAACUGACAGUUUCUCAAGAAGCAGGGAGGGGACUAUAGAUGGCCAACAAAGGGUCUUCAAUCUGCUGCGAUGAGCAGAGAAACAGAAACUGUGUCCUUAUUAAUCUGAACAAGUUGUGAGGUAGCUUUUAAAAAACACCAUCCUGUGUCCGUAUUAGAGUAGACGGAGAAAGGGGCUCUUGGAUGAUGAACAUUGUGAGGUUACAACACUUUGGAUGCCAUAUACUUCGCAUGCAAUAAAAUGCACCCAUUUUCAGUGUAUGGCAAGAUAGAAUAAAUGUGCAGACCAAGAUAAAUACCAUCAUAAUAAAGUUAAACAAAUUUCAACUGGUGAAGCCCCAGAUCUGUCACCUUCUUCCCCUGCACUUGCUUUCCUUAUCAUAGUUUUGCCUUUUCUAGAAUUUCACGGAAAUAAGGUUAGGCAAUUGUGCCUGGGUCUUUAACAAGAUGUCUGUGAGGUUUUGCAUGUACCUAAGGAUAUCUGUGAUAAUCCCCUUUUUAUUGCUGAGGGAUAUUCCUUUGUAUAAGCAUACCAUAACUUUUAAUGACUUUCAGUUUUGAGCUGCAAAUACAGUCUUUUCAGCCCAAAUGGAAGUGACCUUUGGAGCUGCUGGAGGGCUACAGAUGGGAUGGGAUGGACUUUUACCCAUCUUCUCCUGAUAAGCCAGGCUUCUUGUCCUCUCUGGGUGGUACCUAAUGAAGAGUAGAGAUAGCCUCCUGCUUCUUGUUUAGUAUGUUUAAAGAAACAUUACUGGACACAUUAAAAUAAAGUAACAUGAAAGUAUUCCAACUAAAGAAAUCGAAAUGAAAAGUAUAAAUUAUCCUGUCAGUUCCACAAAUAGAUUUAGACAUAAAAAGGAACACCAAUCCCUCACCGCUUGCCCCUUAAAGGACCCACCCUUUUUUUCUAGAGUGCAUAAUUUACCUUUCCUUUUGUGUAGACAUUAAUAGAUUUGUAGAAUAAUACAUUGCUCUUUAUUUAAAAAUUUCAAAAAAUUGAAAAAAAGACAUAAAUCUGGUUUUAAAAAAUUAAAAAGACACUUCUUAGGACCACCCUCUGAGAACAGGUUGGUGAGAACCUUUUUGGCAUUUACAAGGUCCAAUAGGAUCAUGAAUAUAACCUGGGGCUGGAGAGAUGUCUCAGAGGUUAAGAGCAUGGGCUACUUUUCCAUAGGUUCCAAGUUCAGGUCCAAGAAC
rnacentral:sRNA from 1 species